AUCCAACUGACGAGUCCCAAACAGUCCGAAACGCACGUCCUGAAU
rnacentral:hammerhead_ribozyme from 1 species